GAUGAACGCUGGCGGCGUGCCUAAUACAUGCAAGUAGAACGCUGAAGGAGGAGCUUGCUCUUCUGGAUGAGUUGCGAACGGGUGAGUAACGCGUAGGUAACCUGCCUGGUAGCGGGGGAUAACUAUUGGAAACGAUAGCUAAUACCGCAUGACAACAGUUAUUGCAUGAUAACUGUUUAAAAGGGGCAACUGCUCCACUACCAGAUGGACCUGCGUUGUAUUAGCUAGUUGGUGAGGUAACGGCUCACCAAGGCGAGGAUACAUAGCCGACCUGUGAGGGGGGUCGGCCACCCUGGGACUGAGACACGGCCCAGACUCCUACGGGAGGCGGCAGUAGGGAUUCGUCGGCAAUGGACGGAAGUCUGACCGAGCAACGCCGCGUGAGUGAAGAAGGUUUUCGGAUCGUAAAGCUCGGUUGUAAGGUUAGAACGAGUGUGAGAGUGGAAAGUUCACACUGUGACGGUAUCGUACCAGAAAGGGACGGCUAACUACGUG
rnacentral:rRNA from 1 species